CGGAUGAGGCACUUCGUUGCCUUUUAUAUUAUACAAAUUGCAAUAUUUAGUCAUUUUCGGUAGUGUUAGUUAGAUUGCAGUUAAAUGUAAAAAGUUCUGAUUCGUUUAUGAAGUGAAAUCCAAGUAAAGUUUAAAUGCUCGGUAGUGCGUAACACCGCAACGAGAUAAUCGCUGAUUCACAUUAAUUAUGUGAACAUCUGAAGUGCGCGAUAACACGCCCUGCCUUUUACGCUCGGUCACCUUAAGCUAAUCCGUGUCGAAUCGUGAAAAAUAAAUGAGAUUGUACAUGUGUCUAAUAUAAAAUCAAUACUCGGAACGACACGAGAUUUAAAUUUGCCAUUUUCUGUUUGCCAUCGCUCUUUAGUUUCCCGGGAGAUAUUGUUUUAUAGCCCACUAAUUACUCAUAGCGAGUUUUGAGUAAUCAUAAAAUAAUUCUCAUUUGAAAUUCACCUCGGUUUGGCGGUCGUUUUUGAAAUCGAGACGUAAAGGUUCCGCUAGGGCGCGCUUCCUCCUUCCGUGACGUUGGCGCGCUUGCGUCGCGCUCAGUCCGCGCGAGCUUCGCGUCGUUGCAGUCGUCUCCAAAACAAUAGUGCAGGGCUCCAUCCGGAGUCCCUGAAUCACAUUUUAAAGAGUAUAUCGCGGAGUGACAGUGACGCAGUGCAGUGAUUUUGUGGUUUUGUGGUGCGUUCGAGGUGCAAGGAAGCGGGCGAUACGGCCCGCAGCGGCGCGGAUCGAUACGGUGUGGUAUGGCGCAGCAAGUAUGAGCCAGGGGGGCUCGAGACGGCCCUACUCGCGCGGGGGCCCGCGCUGGCACCCGCGCUACAAGGACUACUGGGAUUACGAACAAAACUACAGCGAUGGCAGCAGCGCCGGCAGCCCGAAGGAGGCGUGCGUGCAGUCGCCGCCGCCCGCGCCCGCCAAGCGACACCCGCUGCCCCACGAGCAGAGGAGGAUGAGCGUCGGCGGCGGGGCGGGCGGUUCGCGGCGCGCUGAGCGUCGCGCCGCCGGGCCCUCGGAGCGCCGCAGAACAGAAAUGCGAGUGAGUCCAGGCGCAGGCGCAGGACCCUCGGCAGAGUCGCCUCAUCUGCACCACGCCGCACAUCAUCAUCAUAUGGACACAAAUCCCCUAGAGGGGGCGACGCCGCUAGAAGCGGUGGCGAGUGCUGGUUCGUCUGAUGGCGAGCUGUCCAGCAAGCCAGGAGACAGUCCCACCAGGAAGAGAAGGAGGAUCUCGCGCCAUCUGUCCUCGGGCGAGAGUAACGUGUCAGUGACGGCGCCGGCGGUCGAGAGGCGGACGCCGCGACACCACUACCAGCCGCCUCGCCGCGUCCGCUACGUGAGCGGCAACGGCGCGGGCGUGUGGCACGAACGGCUGCUGGAGCCGCACCCGCAGCACCCGUCGCAUCCGUCGCACCCGUCGCAUCCGACGCACCCGUCGCAUCCCCACCCGCACCCGCACCCCCACCCUCACCCGGCGCACCUGCCGCACGCGCACCACACGCCGCUGCUCAUGGACAUCAACCAGAUGUCGCUUCGUGGCGCGCGCCUCAGUGCCCUCGGGGGAGGGGUGGGCUGGCCGCACCACGCGCACCAUGCCCACCACGCGCACCACGCGCACCGCGACCACCCCACCAGGACGCAG
rnacentral:misc_RNA from 1 species